CCAAAGUUGCCAUCUGUCAUCCCAUGCACUGCUAGCAAUGGGCGGUGCCUCAAAGAAACAAACCCUAAAAAACUUAAACGGCGCCUUAAACAUCCUAAAACUGAAAAACAACAGAUCAAUUUCCUAAAAAAACUAAAACAAAGAAAAAAUCUGAAAUGCCUACAACUUUUCCCCUUCCCUUCAUCUCUGUUUUGCAUCUCCGGUAAAUCUCUUCGCAGAAACAAGAACCAGUGUUCCUUUGUAUCACAUUCUCAUUUUCGUUCCCCAGGUUCCCUAUUGACCGAGCUCCUCGGAGAUUCAAAUCAAGUCACCUCUUUCUCCGGACUCAGAAAUGCCGAUAUGACUAUCUCUCUGUCCCUCAAGCAAUUCCCCUUUGAUCCUUCUGAAUGACUAGUUCGACCGCUGUCGAGGUUUCUUCCACCCAGAAGUCGGCGAUUCACUUCUUCCCCAUGCUGCCAUCGCAUGUGCCGCUUCAUUGGCUUCCCGAGGCUCUGAUAGCCAAUGGCGUUGAAGCGGGGACUAUCCAGUGUGGGCGUCCAAAGGAGCAGAAGUUCUGGAUCUCGAUUGCCUAUCGUGAUUCUUUUUUUCUUCUCAAUUCUGACGCUACUUGUUUUCUUUGUCGGUCAAGGGCUUUACAUUUCAAUUCGUCGAUGCAUUGUUAGUCAGGAUCAUUCAGUUUUGAACUUGGUUAUUGUGAAAAAGGGUGAAAUGAUCUUCCUGGACUGACUGACACUGAGAAACCAAGAAUGAGGGGUCCGAAGAGAGCAUCAAAAAUCAGGAAGUUGUUCAACCUGUCUAAGGAGGAUGAUGUUCGGAAGUAUGUUUAUUAAGCUGAUGCAGUUGAUAACUGGAAUGUUGCAGUAAAUUCUAGGAAGCCAGAAGUUAAUAAUGAUGUAGAAGAAGAGAUGUCUGUGAAGCAUCUAACAAUGAAGAAAAGAGUCAUUUGUGAAUUGCAAAAUCAACAGGUUAACCCCACACUUGUUGGCCAUUCAAAGAAGAAAUCCAGUCACUUUCGUGCUUGUGGCUGUAAAGCAGCAAUUGAGGGGAAUAGCCAGCCUUCUCUGCCAACAAGAGAAUCGGAUUUGCUUUUUUGCUUGAAUCUCGACUUUAUAGUCAAUUUGGUGGGUCGGGUUGAUUUUUGGUCGAGUUUCUUGAAGCUUCAAGGUUGUAUGGUCGUGGCUGGCACCAAAUAGAAGAGCAUGUAGGCACCAAAUCUGCAGUUUAAAUUCGAAGCCAUGCUCAAAAGUUUUUCUCUUAAGGCUUAUUGCUUUGAGUUCAUUACAAGAUUUCCUUGAUUAAGUAAAUAUAUUAUAUCUUUUAUUAUUAAGAUUUACUUGAUUAAGAAAAAGUAUUGUAUGUUUUAUUACCUUGCAUAUGUAUUAUUUUAGUUUUGAUUCUAAAUUUUUAUUUUAACUUUAAUAUUUACGAUAUUUUUAGAUUUUAA